rnacentral:misc_RNA from 1 species
AAUUCAUCAACCCCCCUCGAUUAGCUUCGAGGGGGAGCUUGGAUAGUGGGGGCUGCUGGAGACCUUGGGACUAGUCCCAGGACUCGGGCUCUCCUGAAAUGCAUUGGCUUGCGGUCGACUUUCGACUUUGCGUGAAAAGGCUUUCGGCGUGAUAAUGAUCGCCGUGUGCUGAAGCGCAUGAAUGAAGGUUCCGUGCCUCUAAUACGCAUCGACCUUAGGGUCUUUCUUUGACA